ACGGAGGAUGCGAGCGUUAUCCGGAUUUAUUGGGUUUAAAGGGUGCGUAGGUGGCUAAUUAAGUCAGUGGUGAAAUGCUGCCGCUUAACGGUAGAAUUGCCAUUGAUACUGAUAAGCUUGAGUGCAGAUGAGGUAUGCGGAAUGUGUAGUGUAGCGGUGAAAUGCUUAGAUAUUACACAGAACACCGAUUGCGAAGGCAGCAUACUAAGCUGUUACUGACACUGAGGCACGAAAGCGUGGGGAUCGAACAG
rnacentral:rRNA from 1 species